UACGAAGGGUGCAAGCGUUAAUCGGAAUUACUGGGCGUAAAGCGUGCGUAGGCGGUACGUUAAGUCUGCCGUGAAAGCCCUGGGCUCAACCUGGGAACGGCGGUGGAUACUGGCGUGCUGGAGUGCGGUAGAGGAGGGUGGAAUUCCCGGUGUAGCGGUGAAAUGCGUAGAGAUCGGGAGGAACAUCAGUGGCGAAGGCGGCCCUCUGGACCAGCACUGACGCUGAGGCACGAAAGCGUGGGGAGCAAACAGG
rnacentral:rRNA from 2 species